AGAGUUUGAUCAUGGCUCAGGACGAACGCUGGCGGCGUGCCUAACACAUGCAAGUCACGGGGGGUAGCAAUACCAACCGGCGAACGGGUGCGUAACACGUGAGCAAUCUACCGAGUACUGGGGGAUAGCCGGCCUAACGGCCGGGUAAUACCGCAUACGUUCACCGAGGGACAUCCCUUGGUGAAGAAACCUCCGGGGGUAUUCGAGGAGCUCGCGACCUAUCAGCUAGUUGGCGGGGUAACGGCCCACCAAGGCUCCGACGGGUAGCUGGUCUGAGAGGAUGGCCAGCCACAUUGGGACUGCGACACGGCCCAGACUCCUACGGGAGGCAGCAGUGGGGAAUAUUGCGCAAUGGACGAAAGUCUGACGCAGCGACGCCGCGUGUGGGAUGAAGCUCUUCGGGGUGUAAACCACUGUUGCCCGGGACGAAUCUCCUUUUUCGAAAGGAUUGACGGUACCGGGUGAGGAAGCACCGGCUAACUCUGUGCCAGCAGCCGCGGUAAUACAGAGGGUGCGAGCGUUGUCCGGAAUCACUGGGCGUAAAGGGCGCGUAGGUGGCUUGUUAAGCGUGUGGUGAAAGCCUGGGGCUCAACCCCAGGUCUGCCGUGCGGACUGGCAAGCUGGAGCAGAGUAGAGGCGAGUGGAAUUUCGGGUGUAGCGGUGGAAUGCAGAUAUCCGAAAGAACACCGGUGGCGAAGGCGGCUCGCUGGGCUCUUGCUGACACUGCAGCGCGACAGCGUGGGGAGCAAACAGGAUUAGAUACCCUAGUAGUCC
rnacentral:rRNA from 1 species